GAAACAGACCUCAGAUUUGCAGAUAUGUUGUUAGGAAUUUACUGAGAACCACUGGAGAAUCCAAGAGAUGAAAUGCAUAAGGAGGUUCUCUUAGAUCCAUGUUGGGAAGAAUUUUUUGAGAAUCAGAGGUGCAAAAACAGGUUGGAGAUACACCAUCCAAAUGCAAUGCUGGAAACUUGGCUAAGAAAAUGGCUUAUACCUGGUGUGUUGCAUGCCUACAACGAUCAAAGACCUCAUUGAAAAAAAAACCGGGAACACGUCCCAAGCCCAAGCUAUUGCUUUGCUCUGAAAGAGAUGUCCAAGGUCAAUGGCAGUGACUGACCUUGACCAUGAUGAUGGCGCACAGAGGCUGUGAAGUCAGAAGCGUUUGGAGUCCUGCGGUUUCCACGUGGUGAGUUUGGCCAAGCUGUCGACGCUGUGCCUUGAUUUCCUCCCGUGUUUUAGGAUGAAAUGAGGUAUCACAUGGAAAGUGUUUGGGAUCGCCGUCAAUGGCAGGUAAUGGAACACACGUCUGAUUCCUGUUCCCGCUCUGAUGGACGGAGCAGCAGGGAGGCAGCUUUACUGAGAGCUCCUGCCUUCAACAGCUUCACUGUGUGGUGGGGGAUGAAGGACACAGGAAACAAAAUCAGGAGGGCACACAGGGUGUAAGGCAGGUGUCACUGCUCACUGGCAUUCACAAGCCAAGCAGGUCACUUAAAAGACGUGGAGGCUGUAACCAGUCCAGGGGAGCCUGAGGCACAGAGGAGACAGGCCUGUCAAAAGGCAUUCCAACGCAAUGUUCAAAACACUCUCUGGGAGGGAGU